ensembl:lncRNA
AUGUUGGAUGAUUUAUCUUACGUCCGAUGCCUCCCAGUGCUUCGCCUUCACCGCAUCAAAAGGGUUCCAGGAAUGAUAACAUCCUCCCGAACUCCCUGUAACGGAGGAUGUGUUUGUGUGAAAGAGUGUGAAAACCUCCCUUUUUCUCUGAGUGAAAGCAUACAUACAGGUAAAUAUGUGCUCUGUAUCAUGUCAGUGCAUAGGUAACCUUAUAUAAUUCCACACUGCGCACACACACACACACACACACUCUGACUGCUCUCUGACUGCACACACACACACACACACUGACUGCACUCUGACUGCACACACACACACACACACUGACUGCACUCUGACUGCAGACACACACACACACACACUGACUGCACUCUGACUGCAGACACACACACACGCUGACUGCUCACUGACACACACACACUCACUGACACACAGACACACGCACACUCUGACCUCCUGACGGACUGUGACUAACCCGUCACCUUCUCUCUCUCUGUGUGUUCAGAGUCGGAUCCUGUCCAUGUUGCUCUGCUUGUCAUCUUCCUCUUCAUCCUCCCAGGUACAGCUGGACUUGCAGGUCCUGGUCUGGGGUCCAUGUGGAGUCAGUGACUGUUCACACCUGGGAUUAGCGUGUGAGGUUCAUGACAGACCUGCUCCUCCCACUAAGCCACUCCCCCCUGACCCCUGCACAACUGGACAGGUACGACCUGCCUCUGGCUGCAGCCUCUGAUAGUGCUGAGUAGAGAAGCCGCUUGAUUGAUCAGUGUAAUGUGAUCAGGUGGUUGAUCACUGUGAUUAUUGAACUCACCUGAAAUCUGGUGUAAGCUGAUUGGUCAGGGACACAGGUGAGCAUCAGGUCCUGGAUUUAUGUAGAUUCUGAUAACAUUCCCUGAACUACAAAUUCUCAGGGUUAGUUCGACCCAUUUAAUCAAUCAACAAAACUAAUCAGCUAUUUGAACGACUAAUCAUGGUUGAUGACAUUUGAUGAAGAUUCCACUUUAGAUAUAGCGUAAACAUAUAAAUUCUUCAAGUAUCAGGUUCCACUCAGACCGGUGCUGCCCAAGAAGCCUCCCCCGGCCUGCUACCCCGACCUCCUACAGCCCCCCGACUACGCCUCUGACAUCAAACCCCAGCGGCACAGAAGUGUUGCACCAGCUGCCUCUCCUAACAGGUACAGUGGUUCAUUCCAGACCAGGAGAGAAAGACGUUUUAAAGCUCAACUGUGUGUCUCUGCAGACGGCCUCCUCUUCCUCCCAU